GUUUAGACUCGUUGUAAUCGGAUUAUUGCGAAUACUCUAUAGAACAUGGCAUAAUUUCAUUAACGGGACUUACGAACAAGAAUUUCAAACCCUAUUUCUCAUCAUCAAUCCUUCCACAAGGAUCUGAUGAUACGGGAAAGGGUCUACCUGUUAGAUUCAUCAUUCUUCAAAAGAUGUCGUUUCAAGUUGAAUUUCAUUGUUGUUAGAUGUAAAUAAUCACUACGUCAUAAAACGAUAUUAUAUAAAAAAAAAAAAAGCAGCUCUGAUGUUUGCUAUUAGGAAUAUUGAUUUCUGAAUAUUCUGGAAUUCCCUAUGAAUUCUCUUCUUGUUAGACCAGAUCAAGAAGAAAAAUACAGAAAGCAAAAGAAAUAAAAUACAGAAUAUCGGCCGCUGUACACCAAAAAACCAGUGUUAUUUGUCUCCUGGCCUUCUCACUCUGUAUGUCUUCUCUCUCUACAUAUUUCUAUCCCUAUCUGUUUGAUAUGGAAAAUAUCACAUAAUACGAUCCAAAUUCUACAAUAUCAAAUGGAAAAUCAAAUACUGAGCUCUAGAAAUUCAAAAAAUUCACAAUUUUUUAAGCAGAUAUAUAUUUAUAUAUGGACACAUGUAUCAAUAAAGUUCUUGUUAGUCGGUGAAGAAAUCGUUUGUGGAUUUGCAAUUUUCUAAUAUGGACCAUUGAUAUGCCCAGAGAAAAGUAAACUGUAAUUGAGAGAUUAAAAAACUAAAUAUUUUUAGGGGAGUUUAUAUCAUAUUGUCUUUUGGAUGAUUUGAGUGGGUGGUAGAGAUGGGAGAAAGGAUUCAAGGUUAACUUAUUGGAAGAUGCUGAGAUUGAAGAAGGAGAUGCUUUUUGUUAUGACGAUGGCAUUUUACAAUUGACCCUGAUGUUGCUCUAUUGUAGCCUUUUUGUAUUCCUAUUCCUUUCAAAUUUGCAUUUUCUAUGUUUAUCAAUCCCUAGUUCUAAAUAUGCGCGCAUGCAACUUUUUAUUGGAUUGUUCCUAUGGCAUACCAUGUUAAAUUGUUUACAACGUGUGCAAUUACAUCCAUUUUGAUCUUACUAUAGGUGGAUAAAUUAGCUUGCUUAAUUAGUUGAAGAUCCUUACUACAACCAAUAAUUAGUUAUCACUAGCAGCCAGCAGUCAUGCGACAAUAAGAGGCUGAUAGAAAGCUACUCAAAUGCACCAUUCUGAAGUGCGCUUCUGUGUAUCAUCUACUCAUGCUGAAGAGUCCAUUUCAAAAUUCAGGAUGGUUGAGAAGUCUGCUAAUUCUUCUGAGUCAAGAAUUCUGAAGAUCUGAAUCAAAGUUGGCACUGAAAAUUUGUCUACAUGAAACAAAUCCGUUGCCAAAAUGAUUAGUUUAUUUCUACAAGUCUAGAUGCUCAAGAUUCGGAUAUGUAAAAUGAUCAGUUUUUGAUUGAUUCUUCUAUUAUGCCUAGAAGUGGGAAGAUCUCUCAUGCUAACAGUCUUGUGUUGAGCAAAGAUCCACGCAAACUUGAAAAGGGCCAAAGAGAGUCUAGAGACAGACACAAGGACUUCAUUGGAGGCUUGGAAUGCAAGAAGAAGACAAAUUCGUCAAUUUCAGGUGAAAGGCCUUCCCCCGGAAGGCUGAAGGGUUCUCAGCUAGUUGAAAAAAGAGGCGUUGUUGAAUACCAGCUAUCAUCCAAAGAAAAUAUAAUAGUGAAAAGCUGAAAAUCCAUCAUUCACAGAGAAAUAUCUUAAGGUGGCUUCUAAUCUGCCGCCUCCUGGAAAUGGCCAAGUUCUGGUGCUAUUCCAUUGGGCGUGGUCCUUCUAGUCAAUGAAGAUUGGGGCUCAUGUGAUAAGCAUCAAAAUGGAGACUUCUUCCUCUUCAUACAAAGCCUAAGAGUCUUCAUUGAUAAAUGGCUUCAUAGGAUGCUUAACUGUCUGCAAGUUUUAUCAACAUUAUAUAUGUAGCAUUCUAUCACGUCCUUACCCCCUGUUUGAGCCCCCAUUUGAGGGGGAAAAUGUCUUUUGGAAUAAUGAUUUUUUGGAGAACGUUUGGCUAAAAUAUAAGGAAAAAUUUUGGGUUUAUGUGGAGGACAAUGUGUGGUUGAAAAUGAAUUGGAAAAAUGAGUUUUUGGAAAAAUGGAGGCCAAACAUAGGCUUAGACUGACCACAAGAAAUAAGUUCUAUCAACGAUUUUUAUUGUUUUUGACUGAUUAGAAAGAAAGAUAAUGUACAACCAAUUUACGAGCAUAAAUUUUAAACAAAUAAGUUGAUAAAAAUUAUGAUCCUUGUGAGUUCGAUGGAGAAGUGCUGUUGAAUUCCCCUGUUAAACUUUAUACUACUGAAAGGGAUCUCUCUCUCAUGCAUAUAGUACUUGAGUCCUGGCAACUUCGAUAUUUUAACAUCUCUCUAGGGUGGAACUCACAAUGUGAGUCAAGUAUCUGCUGGUGAAGGCAAGGCACUUAGUGUGGUACAACAUGAUAUUUCAACUCACCAUGUUACAGAUGUCUACAAUGAUCACUUAUGUCAAGGCAAUUGUAUGCUUGUGGCAUGCUUCUUCAGAGCAAUUCCCAGAUGAAAGAACAAAUGCUGAUCAAUCUUGAAACAGUGGGUCUCACCGAAAAAACUGGGAAGGAGAUUUCUUUGUGUUCUAAAGGCCAGACUUGUAGUUCUAGAUCAGACUUUCAUAAAGAUAAAAAAACAAGAUUUCUGAUUCUUCUCAUAAAUCCUGAGAACAUGUGCAUUCACAUGAGAAAAAAUCGAAGAGUGAAGGGAAUAAGUUUGAGAAAUUUUCCACACCUGACAAAGCCUCAAAGAAUAUUAUUCCAUAAUAUUAGAAAAAGCAAGGAUAAAAAGCAUAAUAUUCAAAGGGAGCAGGAAAAAAGAAAAUCAACCAUCCAGCUUCUCUCUGGCAAAAGCAACCAGGCCAAAUCUGUGGAAGUGGCAAGUCACACUUACUACCACCCUUAGCAAGAGGUCAGACUGAAAAAGUAUCACUUGCCAAGCCUAUUUCUGGAUCUCGGGAAGAACAUGGAGUAAAAAGUGUUUGUAGUCAAUGUGUUUGGAGAUGCAUUAGAGGCACCGAACCGUAUUAAGAAAGCUCAGAGCCAGAGUGGAAAUCUACCUAUUAAUUCAAGAUAUCCUCCGAUUGCACAUAAGGAAUGGGAUAUUGAAGCCCCAAGUUCGGCUCGAAGGGAUCCUCCAGUGACACUGCUAUCAGUGCUAUAAAACAAGUGAAUGACCUUAAACACCUGGCUGAUCGUCUUAAGGUUUGUACACUUCAAGUUGAUUCUGAUGUAGUUGUUGGCAUCAAUGUGUUGAUGAUCCGUAAUAUGGUUCUUUGUGGCAGAACUUUGGAUCAACUGAAGUGCAGGGUUUUAUUUCCAGGCUGCUCUCACAAGGUGCGGCACUGAAGUUUGUCAGGGGAAAAAACAAUUCUCAACCUGAUGAUCAAGUAUAUUAUUAAGUGUAUUGGACUGUCUG
rnacentral:lncRNA from 1 species